rnacentral:rRNA from 1 species
GCCAGCAGCCGCGGUAAUACGGAGGGUGCGAGCGUUAAUCGGAAUUACUGGGCGUAAAGCGUGCGCAGGCGGUUUGUUAAGCGAGAUGUGAAAGCCCCGGGCUCAACCUGGGAACCGCAUUUCGAACUGGCAAACUAGAGUCUUGUAGAGGGGGGUAGAAUUCCAGGUGUAGCGGUGAAAUGCGUAGAGAUCUGGAGGAAUACCGGUGGCGAAGGCGGCCCCCUGGACAAAGACUGACGCUCAGGCACGAAAGCGUGGGGAGCAAACAGGAUUAGAUACCCUGGUAGUCCACGCCGUAAACGAUGUCUACUCGGAGUUUGGUGUCUUGAACACUGGGCUCUCAAGCUAACGCAUUAAGUAGACCGCCUGGGGAGUACGGCCGCAAGGUUAAAACUCAAAUGAAUUGACGGGGGCCCGCACAAGCGGUGGAGCAUGUGGUUUAAUUCGAUGCAACGCGAAGAACCUUACCUACUCUUG